UACGGGGGGGGCAAGCGUUGUUCGGAAUUACUGGGCGUAAAGGGCGCGUAGGCGGCCUGCUAAGUCGGAUGUGAAAUCCCUCGGCUCAACCGAGGAACUGCAUCCGAUACUGGCGGGCUUGAAUCCGGGAGAGGGAUGUGGAAUUCCAGGUGUAGCGGUGAAAUGCGUAGAUAUCAGGAAGAACACCCGUGGCGAAGGCGGUUCUCUGGGACGGUACUGACGCUGAGACGCGAAAGCGUGGGGAGCGAACAGG
rnacentral:rRNA from 1 species